GAUGAACGCUGGCGGCGUGCCUAAUACAUGCAAGUCGAGCGAAUGGAUUGAGAGCUUGCUCUUAUGAAGUUAGCGGCGGACGGGUGAGUAACACGUGGGUAACCUGCCCAUAAGACUGGGAUAACUCCGGGAAACCGGGGCUAAUACCGGAUAACAUUUUGAACCGCAUGGUUCGAAAUUGAAAGGCGGCUUCGGCUGUCACUUAUGGAUGGACCCGCGUCGCAUUAGCUAGUUGGUGAGGUAACGGCUCACCAAGGCAACGAUGCGUAGCCGACCUGCGAGGGUGAUCGGCCACACGGGGACUGACGCACGGCCCAGACUCCUACGGGGGGCAGCAGUAGGGAAUCUUCCGCAAUGGACGAAAGUCGGACGGAGCAACGCCGCGUGAGUGAUGAAGGCUUUCGGGUCGUAAAACUCUGUUGUUAGGGAAGAACAAGUGCUAGUUGAAUAAGCUGGCACCUUGACGGUACCUAACCAGAAAGCCACGGCUAACUACGUGCCAGCCGCCGCCGUAA
rnacentral:rRNA from 1 species